rnacentral:misc_RNA from 1 species
GAAAUGCGAUAAGUAGUGUGAAUUGCAGAAUUCAGUGAAUCAUCGAAUCUUUGAACGCACAUUGCGCCCCUUGGUAUUCCAUGGGGCAUGCCUGUUCGAGCGUCAUUUGUACCCUCAAGCUCUGCUUGGUGUUGGGUGUUUGUCCCGUCUCCGCGCGUGGACUCGCCCCAAAGUGAUUGGCAGCCGGCGUACUGGUCCCUGAGCGCAGCACAUGUCGCGCAAACGAGUGCCUUGGUACGGCGGCGUCCAUAAGCCCCUCUCUCACGCUCUUGACCUCGGAUCAGGUAGGGAUACCCGCUGAACUUAAGC